AAUCCCUUAUCGAGGAUCAAUUGGAGGGCAAGUCUGGUGCCAGCAGCCGCGGUAAUUCCAGCUCCAAUAGCGUAUAUUAAAGUUGUUGCAGUUAAAAAGCUCGUAGUUGGAUUUGUGGUUUACGCAAGGCUUCCGUCCCUCUUGGGUUUCGGUGUUGCCUGGCGUUGCCAUCCUUGGGUGGAAUCUGUGUGGCAUUAGGUUGUCGUGCAGGGGAUGCCCAUCGUUUACUGUGAAAAAAUUAGAGUGUUCAAAGCAGGCUUAUGCCGUUGAAUAUGUUAGCAUGGAAUAAUAAUAUAGGACCUUGGUACUAUUUUGUUGGUUUGCGCACCGAGGUAAUGAUUAACAGGGUCAACUGGGGAUAUUCGUAUUCCGCUGUCAGAGGUGAAAUUCUUGGAUUUUUGGAAGACGAACUACUGCGAAAGCAUUUAUCAAGGAUGUUUUCAUUAAUCAAGAACGAAAGUUAGGGGAUCGAAGAUGAUUAGAUACCAUCGUAGUCUUAACCAUAAACUAUGCCGACAAGGGAUUGGUGGAGUAUCGUUACGUCUCCAUCAGCACCUUAUGAGAAAUCAAAAGUCUUUGGGUUCCGGGGGGAGUAUGGUCGCAAGGCUGAAACUUAAAGAAAUUGACGGAAGGGCACCACCAGGAGUGGAGCCUGCGGCUUAAUUUGACCCAACACGGGAAAACUUACCAGGUCCAGACAUAGUGAGGAUUGACAGAUUGAGAGCUCUUUCUUGAUUCUAUGGGUGGUGGUGCAUGGCCGUUCUUAGUUGGUGGAGUGAUUUGUCUGGUUAACUCCGUUAACGAACGAGACCCCUGCCUGCUAAAUAGCCCAGUGAGUGAUUUUUCACUGACUGUUGGCUUCUUAGAGGGACGUGCAUUCUAUUAGAUGCAGGAAGAUAGGGGCAAUAACAGGUCUGUGAUGCCCUUAGAUGUCCUGGGCCGCACGCGCGCUACACUGAUGAAUUCAACGAGUUUUUUCCUUGGCCGAGAGGCCUGGGCAAUCUUUUGAACGUUCAUCGUGAUAGGGAUAGAUUAUUGCAAUUAUUAAUCUUGAACGAGGAAUUCCUAGUAAACGCAGAUCAUCAAUCUGCAUUGAUUACGUCCCUGCCCUUUGUACACACCGCCCGUCGCACCUACCGAUUGAAUGGUCCGGUGAAGCCUCGGGAUUGUGGUCAGUUUGCUUUAUUGCGAGUUGAUUGCGAGAACUUGUCUAAACCUUAUCAUUUAGAGGAAGGUGAAGUC
rnacentral:rRNA from 1 species